rnacentral:rRNA from 1 species
UACGUAGGGGGCAAGCGUUAUCCGGAUUUACUGGGUGUAAAGGGAGCGUAGACGGCGAUGCAAGCCAGAUGUGAAAGCCCGGGGCUCAACCCCGGGACUGCAUUUGGAACUGUAUAGCUAGAGUGUCGGAGAGGCAGGCGGAAUUCCUAGUGUAGCUGUGAAAUGCGUAGAUAUUAGGAGGAACACCAGUGGCGAAGGCGGCCUGCUGGACGAUGACUGACGUUGAGGCUCGAAAGCGUGGGGAGCAAACAGG